rnacentral:rRNA from 1 species
UGAACGCUGGCGGCGUGCCUUACACAUGCAAGUCGAACGUGAAAGUACCUUCGGGUAUGAGUAAAGUGGCGCACGGGUGAGUAACGCGUGGAUAAUCUACCGGGAAGUUCGGAAUAACAGCUGGAAACGGUUGCUAAUACCGGAUACACUACAUAUAAACGUAUGUGGGAAAGACGGCCUCUGCAUAUGCUGUUGCUUUCCGAUGAGUCCGCGUACCAUUAGCUAGUUGGUGGGGUAAAGGCCUACCAAGGCGACGAUGGUUAACUGGUCUGAGAGGAUGAUCAGUCACACUGGAACUGGAACACGGUCCAGACUCCUACGGGAGGCAGCAGUGGGGAAUAUUGCGCAAUGGGCGAAAGCCUGACGCAGCGACGCUGCGUGAGGGAUGAAGGUCUUCGGAUCGUAAACCUCUGUCAGCAGGGAAGAACGGUCACUGUGCUAAUCAGCAGUGAAUUGACGGUACCUGCAAAGGAAGCACCGGCUAACUCCGUGCCAGCAGCCGCGGUAAUACGGAGGGUGCGAGCGUUAAUCGGAAUUACUGGGCGUAAAGCGCUCGUAGGCGGUAUGUCAAGUCAAGGGUGAAAUCCCCGCGCUCAACGUGGGAACUGCCUUUGAAACUGGCAAACUGGAGUGUGUGAGAGGAUAGUGGAAUUCCAGGUGUAGGAGUGAAAUCCGUAGAUAUCUGGAGGAAC